UGUGUGUGUGAGCUGGUGGUGCCUGCAGGCAGUCCUCGGUUGCCCAGGAAACACAGAUGGUGGAUGAAGGGCGCGCAUACAAAAGACCAUAAACCUGUGGCAGCAGCUGGAGACCGAGCCCGCUCAUUAAUUCAGCUCCGCGCAGUCCUGCUCACUCAAAGACGUCGCUGUUCUCCUCAACACCUCCCAUCCAUUUUCUUUGUCCCCGGGGCUUCCGUCUCCACUUUAUCCCGUGUUUCUCUCCGCUUCUUCCGCGGACUGGACGGCCGUCAGUGCGCAGCUGUUGUCGGCACUCCCACAUCUGCCUCUCUGCGCUCGGCGGCCAUGUACGACGCUCAGGCGCGGCUCGUGUUAGUGCGCAGAGGGGAGGUAGAUCCAGGGGCCGAGCAAAGGAGCCUUUCACUGCAGGCGACAGCACUGCACACACGAGGCGUGAGUUUGCAGGUUAGGCAGCUUUCACCCCCCUCAGCAUGGAGAUAAGAAGAACAGGAGAAGGAAGGAGACGGAGAAGAGGAGGAGGAAGAUGGGAUCUUUUCGCACCGCCUGAUUCUGCGGGACAGGUGCGCAUGGACCCUGGAAAUCACUGGCAACCUUGUGGUCAGUGCUGCAGCAGAUUCAUGGACAGAGCAGCUGACAUGUGACCCGUCAGGACACCGGGAGGAUCCCCCAGCAGGACAGGUUAUGUGUACAGGCUGGAUUAUCUUUAUCACCUGAUGGAGAAUUUGUAUUGAGAACAGAUGGUGUCAGGGAUCUUUCAGCAGUGGGUGUGUUUGAUUUAUGUUUAGAUAAAGAGCAGCAAUGAGAAACCAGAGGGGAAAUAAUCCCUGGGGUGUUUUGGGUGGACAGUUGGGUGGCGUCCCACUUUUCUGCUGCUUUGUGUUGUGUGUUCCUCUCCAGUUACACUGAUGGAGGAGCAGAUCGGGGAUCGCACCGGACCUGACGAGCGGCGUCGCUCCAUCGCCCUCGGCUGUGCUGCCUCAGACUGGUACAGGAUCUGUCAGUAGAUUUACACCACGUGACGGAUGCCAUUGCUGCUGUCCAGAACCUCCAGAAGGAGACGAUCCAUGUUCCAAGUGUUUCCCCACUGAGAGAUGACUUCAGCUGCUUUUAUGUAUCUGUAAAAAAAAAAAUGUCACCACUGCUUUACAGUCAGUCUCAUCAUGAUCAGGUGUAGCAGGAAGGUAUUUCAUGGCUGGUGUUUUGAGUCCAGAGUAACUCUGCGGUGUUCUUCUCUGUCUCCUUCAUAUGUGUGUAUUUCCCUGGCUGUGAGUAAUACAGCUCCAUCCACCCACACUCUAGCUUUUUUGUUUUUUUUUGGCUGAUGGAGAACGCUGACACCGCAGCCAUCGAACACCUCUCACACCUGCUCACUUCAGCCGCUGUCUGCGGUGACCUCCUCUCCCUGUUACCUUGGUUACCCUGUCAAACAUCUGGUCACUUCUGCUUGUAUAAGACACUUCAGAUUCACCAGCAGCGCCUGUUUCAGCGAUGCUUACAUCUCACCAGAGCGAGCAUGUGUCUAUGCCAGAUCCAGAACUGGAAAGCUCUGAUAUUUUUAAUCCAGCAGUGUUAGAAAAAAUCUGCUCAAGUGUGUGAGAAAUUUCUCACAUUUUGACAAAGUGUAAUUCUCACAGUAUGUUCUUUGUUUGUCUUGAAACCACUUAAUUUGGAUGUGACACCAACUAUUUAUUUAUUUAUUUUUUGGAUACAGAUCUUCCUUUGUGUAUUUUAACUGUACCGCGUGGGAGCGUGUGUAUCGGCGAGAGUGCAUGUGUUUCGUGUGCACGUGCGUGUGUGUGUGUGUGUGUGUGUUCCCGUACAUGUGCAUGUGUAUCAUGUCUGUGUGAUGGAACAGACAUCUGUAAUGCUCUUGAAGCUACUGGCUGCUUUUCAGUGAUUAUCUCAUCGCUGCAAAAAAGAAAACAAAAAAAAAGAAUAAAAAAUGCCUGCAGCUCUUCUUUUUUAGCCACCGACGGGUUAAAAAUGUAUUUACAAAUGAUUCUUAGCAUUUGUUUUCGACCUCUUUCAAGUAGCAGUUAGGUGGGGAUUCCUUUUGUGAUUUAGAUAAUCACAAGAAUGUCGCUGGAAAUUAAUGGUGUGUAGUUUUCUAAAUGAUGCCUGCUGGCGUUAAUUAAACUGUCAGGAUGCCUACAGCCCCACCAUCUGAUACUUAAGCAAAUUACAGCAAAUGCUAAUAAUUAUGUGCAAAUAGCUUUUUACCCAGGUCUGGAUUCUACUAACAGUACCUCACUAAUAUCUAACAAUACUAAUGUCUGCUAACAAGUCUGAUGAUUACUAACCAGUUCUCUGAAUGCUGAUGGCUGGCCUUGUUCUCUCUAACCCACUGACUAACCCCUCUGCUUUAUGCCCGCAGUCUGAUGCACACACUCCUCUCUCAUGAUCCUGCAAUCCUUCUGCCGCGUAGAAACCAACUUCACAUUGACCAUGACUGAAGAAAAUCUGUUAGCUGCGAGCGAGACAAGAAGGGUUUCAGGACGUGGGAAGGGAGAUGUUGCUAACCACUCGAUGACAAAGAGGAGCAGAAACAGCUGCUGAUACCGAACCGGGUUGACCACAUACUUUGGAAGAAUCCCUUACAACAGCAACAACAGCAACAGCAAAAAAAAAAAACAAAACCCGAUUGUGAUCUGAUUCCAAACGACUAAAUUCACACCCCUCAGAGACUGUGUGCUGUGUGGUCAACCUUCGCAGGUGAGUGGCUGGCUCGUUUUCACGCGAGCCGAGCAAACCUCAACUCCACUACUAACUCACUACGGUGUUCAUACUAACAGCGGUGAGGCUGGAAAAGGUCCACCUGUUGCUCUUACUAACAUGUCUGGUGGUGAUGUCUCAAAAAAAACACGAAUUAUUCCGUCUCUUUGCGAACCUUUGGUCAAAUCAGAGCAUGCCUCGUGGAACUACGUGACGUCACUAGUGCCACGAGCAUGUCGGAUCAGUCCUUUUCAAACGAGCUCGACGGGCUACUAACAUCUCCUAAAGUGAAAUUAACAAGAGACUAACCGAAGAGCUUUUAUUGGCUCCCUGCAGACUAACAAACUAACCCACUAAUAAACUAAUAAUCUAACAAAAACUAACUGGAAUCACUAACAUUUUGUCGAAAGCGAGUGGUGGAAUCGGCGAAGCGCUCCCGUGAUGAUUUAGGAGCUGCUUCACUCACUUGAACGUACUAACAGAAUUCAGUUUUGAAGAGUUGCUGACGUGACUUGAAUGUGCCUGUAUGUGUGUGUGUUUUUGUGUGUGUGUGUGUGUGUGUGUGUGUGAAAGACAGAGAGAGAGAGAGAAAGAGAGCCCAGAAGAGUGAGUGUGUGUGUGUGUUUUUGUUAGCAAAUCUAAAUGAGUGUCCACCUGGUUUCUGUCCUCUCAGGCGACAUUUGAACACAUAAAUGCAGUCUGUGUCCAUCA